rnacentral:lncRNA from 1 species
GUGGGCGGGUAGAGGAGUGGGGGUGGGUGGGUAUGGGGGACUUUUGGUAUAGCAUUGGAAAUGUAAAUGAGCUAAAUACCUAAUAAAAAAUAGAAAGAAAAAAAAAGAAAUAUACAAUUAAAAAAAGAAAAGAAAAGAAAGAAAGUUGCUUUCAGAGGAAAACUGAGGUGUACAAAUACUCUCAGGUAAAUUACCAAAGUUGAAGAGACCCUGACACAAACCAGCUGCCUGGAAAAUGAAGAGAUGGGCAAGCUGCCUGGAAGAGAUUUAGACCAACUAAAACACAUGAAAAGGACACUCUCCAACUUAUUGAGCUGCUUGUAGACUGUGCAGUGUGCUUCAGGUUCCCAGGUUUGUGAGCUGUCAGCCAUGUUGACAUGAGUUUCAAUGAGUCAUUUCUACUCCUGUAAGUAAUUCCAGCAGUACUCAGUUGGUUCACCAAGCUGAAUCUUGGUCUGUCCUUGGUUCCCUUGGUCUGUCAUGGGCUUCCAUGACUUCCAUGGAGCUAGUGAACUUGUGUGGAUCAUUAGGUUAGGCAACAGUAAACAGUGCAGCCUUUACUUUACAGGACAGCGGGAGAGGCCAGUGUGGUACUGUGGAAAGGCAGCCGAAGGUAACACUUGCCCUUGGUUUUUCACCACCAGUAUUCUUUAAUUUUUUGAAAAAUCUAUUUAGCUCUAAAGUUUUAGUAUAAGUUUAUAUUGCAUGUUAAGCAUAUGUGCCCAAUGCGCCCCCACUUUGCCUUCUCCCCAAUUUUUCCUCCUGUUGUCUCCUUAGACUGUUUUGUUUCUGCUUCUAUGUCAUCUAUAAAUUAUACAAAUCUAGGAGCCACAAAUGAGACAAACCAUCUGAUAUUUGUUUUCUGAGACUGGCUUAAUUAAUUUACUACAGUUAUCUUCAGUUGUAUCCAUUUUCCUACAAAUGACAUAAGUUUGAUAUAUUUUUAGUGGAUGAGAAAAAUUCCAUUGUGGACAUACCACAUUUCCUUAUGCAUCCCUCUGUUGCUGGACACCCAUGUUGGUUCUAUAAUUUAGGUGUUGUAAAUAGUGCUGCAGUACACACUGAUGGGCAGGGGUCUAUGUGAUGUGUUAGCUUGGAGUUUUUCAGGUAAUAUCCAGGAGUUUGACCACUCUGAUGCCUCGUUACUCCACAAAGUCAGCACUGGGAAAAUAAAGCUGACUCAGCCACAGUGUGUGUAACUGUCACAUCCUGGAGUGUUGCUUUCUUGAGCCUCAUAUUUUUUUUUCCAGAUUGUAAUUUCAAUGUAUUAUUUUCUAAUUUUCAUUUCUUUGAAUUAAUUAAUUAACUUUCCAUUCUGAUCACAGCUUCCCUUGCUACUCCUCCCAGUCCCUCCCUCUCACUGCCCCUUCCCAAAUCCUUCCCUUUCUCUUCAUAGAAGGAGGGGGUGCUCACAGUGGGACCAGGCUCAUCUUCUCCCACUGAGUGAGAAGGAGGGGUGCUCACAGUGGGACCAGGCUCAUCUUCUCCCACUGAGUCUAGACAAGGCAGCCCAGUUAAGGGAAAGGGGUCCAAAAGCAGGCAACAGAGUCAGAGACGCCUCUGUUUCAGUUGUUGGGGAACCUGCAUGGAAACCAAGCCGCACAUCUGUUACAAAUGUGUAAGGGGUCUAAAUCUGUCCCAUGCAUGCUCUUUGGUUGGAGGUCCAGGCUCUGUGAGCCCCUAUAGGCCCAGGUUAGUUGAUUCUAUAGGUUUUUUUGUGAUGUCCUUGACCUCUCUGAUUCCGGCAAUCCUUCCUCUCCCUCUUCCACAAGAUUUCCCAAGCUCCACCUAAUGUUUGGCUGUGGGUCUCUGCAUCUGUUUCCAUCAACUGCUGGAUGAAGCCUCUCAGAGGACAGUUUAGAUAGGUUGAGCCUCAUUUUUAAAGUAAGAGAAUUGGAUAGUUCUAUACAAGGUUCAAGGAACUGUGUGCCUACCUUAAAGCUUAUUUUUGUUUUAAAUUACAUAUUUAAUACUCUCAUGAUUGUUCCUCUCUCAGUACUUUAUACUUAAGGAGACUAGGGUUUUGACUUUUGUUCUUAAUGUUAUAUCUCAAUACCCAGCAUUGAGUCUAUCAAUUUAUCAACAGUGACGAACACAUGUUUAUACUUCAUUAAACAUGUACAAAUAUGAAUCAGCUCAUAAAUAAUCCUUGGGUGGUUGCACAUGUGUCUUAGGGAUGAGAGGAGCUUCACCCCUCAGUUCUCACCUUACGUCUGCUCCAGGCUUUGCCCCUCUAUUUCUGAUUCGACAAAGGAAAGGUUGAAGACUGGAGGCACACACCAUG